GAUGAACGCUGGCGGCGUGCUUAACACAUGCAAGUCGAACGGUGAACGAGGGAGCUUGCUCCCUCCGGAUCAGUGGCGAACGGGUGAGUAACACGUGAGCAAUCUGCCCUGGACUCUGGGAUAAGCGUUGGAAACGACGUCUAAUACCGGAUACGAGGCGUGGGGGCAUCCCCAACGCCUGGAAAGAAUUUCGGUGAGGGAUGGGCCCGCGGCCUAUCAGCUAGUUGGUGGGGUAACGGCCCACCAAGGCGACGACGGGUAGCCGGCCUGAGAGGGCGACCGGCCACACUGGGACUGAGACACGGCCCAGACUCCUACGGGAGGCAGCAGUGGGGAAUAUUGCGCAAUGGGCGAAAGCCUGACGCAGCGACGCAGCGUGAGGGACGAAGGCCUUCGGGUUGUAAACCUCUUUCAGCGGGGACGAAGCGAAAGUGACGGUACCCGCAGAAGAAGCACCGGCUAACUACGUGCCAGCAGCCGCAGUAAUAC
rnacentral:rRNA from 1 species